GCCACACCUAGUGCCUGGGAUGUUGCUGGUGGCCUUGCCAGGGGAGGGGCCGGGGGGCAGGGCAGCAGGUGACGGUCACCAUGGCCCACUGCACGGGCCACAGCACCACCACGAACAUCAGGGAGCAAUAAUGUUGGCUAAACGGGCACGCACGUGACUCGCACACGAAGCGUAGAAACCAAGCUUCUGACCUGCGCGUCCCGGCGAUCCAGCCAAGGAAUGGAACGUGAGUCAGAGUCCUGGGGUGUUCGGGCCGGCGGUUCCAGAAGGAACGUCCCCCUGCCGGGCAAGGACGGGUGGAGCAGAGACCCAGCAACAUCUUCAAUGUGUGGCUGUAGGGACCUCUACACCGAGACGCACCCACAGAUCAGGACAGAGGGGCCACUGGCCCUCCUGGCAGGGGUUCCCCGAAGCCCCAACAUGGCAGGCUGCGCUGGUGGGGACCGAGGGCUCCCCAUCUCCGUCUGGCUUCCGUCACUCCCGGGAUGCCUGUGAGCAGCACCUGUGCUGCUGCAGACGCAGGAAAGGGCUUCCCGAGAACCCAGAGGGAAGCAGUGGACACGUUUGUAGCCACCCGCAUCCGGGCGUCGCACUCUCACCGUCAGGUUCUCAUUCUGCUCUGCCAGACCCGCGCCCCAUCUGUCAUCUCCAGGUGACCCCCUGAAAUCUCUGAAAUCGCGGAGACCCCUCCCCGCUGAAGGUUUUAGGCCUCCUCCCUAUUUCUCUGUAAACAGCUUAUAUUAUUGAUUUGGAGGAUCUGACGUUCCCAUAAAUGGCUUUUUGUUGUACUGUGUCGCCGUCUGCUCUGCUUUUCCCACCCAGCCUGGUAUUCUGGAGGCGUGUGUGCCACACGCAGCUCUGGUUCACUCCUUUUAGCACCUGCGUAGCAUCCAAUCCAGUGAGCGCCCCGCAGCCGACCACACGCAUUCCCCAAGGACGGUCUUUCCCCUUUUUUCUCUCACACAUCCCGAGAGAGCGAACAACUCCGGGCUCUUCUUGAGCGCCUGUGUGUGAGUUUCUCCAGCAUUUAUCGAGUGUGGAACGGCUGGGUGUGGGGCUAAGCGCCCAUUACAUGUCCACACUACCUUUUUUCAUUCCAUGGGGCUGCAGUCACAGGAUACAGUAUGUGCACUGGGCAGCUGCAACAGCAGGCGUAAGUUCUCCCAGCUCUGGAGGCUGGAGGUCCAGUUAAGGGACUCGCAGAUGUGGAACCUGGUAAGGGCUCCGGGCUUGGUCUGGCCACGUUCUCACUCUGUCGUCACCUUGGGGGGGGAGGAGAGAGGGAGAG
ensembl:lncRNA